rnacentral:rRNA from 1 species
AUUGAACGCUGGCGGCAGGCUUAACACAUGCAAGUCGAACGAGUGGCGGACGGGUGAGUAAUGCUUGGGAAUCUAGCUUAUGGAGGGGGAUAACUACGGGAAACUGUAGCUAAUACCGCGUACCAUAGGAUGAGCCCAAGUGGGAUUAGGUAGUUGGUGAGGUAAAGGCUCACCAAGCCGACGAUCUCUAGCUGGUCUGAGAGGAUGACCAGCCACACUGGGACUGGGAAACGGCCCAGACGCCGACGGGAGGCAGCAGUGGGGAAUAGUGCGCAAUGGGGGCAACCUGACGCAGCCAUGCCGCGUGAAGUAAGAAGGCCUUCGGGAUGUAAAGUUCUUUCGUUAGGGAGGAGUUAACUACAGAAGAAGCACCGGCUAACUGCGUGCCAGCAGCCGCGGUAAUAC